rnacentral:rRNA from 1 species
AGCGAACGCUGGCGGCAGGCCUAACACAUGCAAGUCGAGCGCCCCGCAAGGGGAGCGGCAGACGGGAGAGUAACACGUGGGAACGUGCCCUUUGGUUCGGAACAACCCAGGGAAACUUGGGCUGAUACCGGAUAAGCCCUCACGGGGAAAGAUUUAUCGCCGAAGGAUCGGCCCGCGUCUGAUUAGCUAGUUGGUGGGGUAAUGGCCCACCAAGGCGACGAUCAGUAGCUGGUCUGAGAGGAUGAUCAGCCUCACUGGGACUGAGACACGGCCCAGACUCCUACGGGGGGCAGCAGUGGGGAAUAUUGGACAAUGGGCGCAAGCCUGAUCCAGCCAUGCCGCGUGGGUGAUGAAGGCCCUAGGGUUGUAAAGCCCUUUCGGCGGGGAAGAUAAUGACGGUACCCGCAGAAGAAGCCCCGGCAAACUUCGUGCCAGCCGCCGCCGUAA